rnacentral:rRNA from 1 species
CAGUCGCCGCGGGAAAACGUAGGUGGCAAGCGUUGUCCGGAAUUAUUGGGCGUAAAGGGCUCGCAGGCGGUUUCUUAAGUCUGAUGUGAAAGCCCCCGGCUCAACCGGGGAGGGUCAUUGGAAACUGGGAAACUUGAGUGCAGAAGAGGAGAGUGGAAUUCCACGUGUAGCGGUGAAAUGCGUAGAGAUGUGGAGGAACACCAAUGGCGAAGGCGACUCUCUGGUCUGUAACUGACGCUGAGGAGCGAAAGCGUGGGGAGCGAACAGGAUUAGAUACCCGCGUAGUCCCUGUCUCUUAUAC